rnacentral:rRNA from 1 species
CGAGUAACCUGCCCUUAACUCUGGGAUAAGCCUGGGAAACUGGGUCUAAUACCGGAUAUGACUCCUCAUCGCAUGGGUGGGGGGUGGAAAGCUUUAUUGUGGUUUUGGAUGGACUCGCGGCCUAUCAGCUUGUUGGUGAGGUUAUGGCUCACCAAGGCGACGACGGGUAGCCGGCCUGAGAGGGUGACCCGGCCACACGUGGGACUGAGACACGGCCCAGACCUCCGUACGGGGAGCAG